UCCAACAGGAGCUGACACAUGGCAAGUGAUGUUUAUGCCAGAUAAGCAGUUGAUCUAAAUGUUGGCACUUCUUACCCACUGUGGGUGCCCCAUCCUCAGAAGAAGGGUACGGUACUCAAGAAAGUGACUCAUCUCCACCUCUCAAGGCAAUAGUUGACAUGGAUAGUUGUAUGCCGAAGUUGAAAAGCAAUGAACAAUAAGCAGUAGGAUAUGACCUAUGAACUCAACACCGUAUACUGAACCAAGCACCAGUAUGGGUUAUGCCACCUUCUCAUCAUGGAACAGGAGGGACAGAAGCCUGGACUCCCACACCACCAGGUUCAAGAGCAGCUGCCACCGUUCAACCAUUUUGUUCUUAAAUCUCCCUGCACAUCCUUAAUCACUAUUUCAGUAGAGCAAUAUUUUAACCACUUUGUACUACAAUAGACCUUUUUUUUUGCUGUAGUUGUGUUCUUUUUUGCACAAAUUUGUUAAAACUUAUGUUUGGAUUAUAUCUUUCUUGUGAAUGUUGUGUCUCUAAUGCCAUGUGUGCCUGUGAUGAUGUGGCAGGUAAUUCAUUUCACCUGCAUAUAUAGAUGUAGUCUGAAUAUGACAAUAACCUUGUCUUUGACUUUGAUGGAUAAGAGUUCUACCUCCAUCAUAAUGGUGGAAGGAACAUGAUAGAUACCUGUGUCUUAUAUACACAUGUAUGUAUGAGUUCUAAAACAUGGAUCCCCCAUGCUGACACACACCGGAACUCGGAAAACAUCUAUGGAAGUAAAUAAAUCAAAGUUUCGGGCCAUGAUCCUCCAUCAGACCCUUCACUCCGACUUGCUGAGUUCCUUCAGCAUUUUGUGUGAGUUGUUCAAAGUCACCAGCAUCUGCAGAAUUUCUUGUGGUCCCCUUGUCAAGACUGGUUGGCUUUAUGGUUCCCUAUUUCAAACUUCCUCACAAAAACCCUCAGAACUCUUAUCCAUCCUGACUCAAUCUGCUGUCUGAUAUCACACCCUUUCCCAAUCGAAAUCCUCAGUCUCCUUUCUCAACCACAAAUCUCUCCUGAGCUCCCCACUUCCAAUGAUCCACUUCAUCCACCUCCGCAGUCUUCAGUGUUCCCCCCUUUCCUGAUCCUCAUGUUGGGACCUUCUCUAACACUAACACCAUUCUCUGUUCUCCGUGUCUUAUCCACUACACACCUCUGAUCUCCCGUUCUGGACUGCUUCCUUUUUCUCCACUUCACCAUCCCCCAACACACAUCCUAACUCUAUUUCCCACCAACCCCCUUUCUCACACCAGCUUAUCCUCACCCCCAACCUCUAAUUCCACCAUCCACAUCUCCUUGCUUCACAGCCACUGCUCAACUUGCUUCUAUCAACAGCUCAUUCUUGCUCUCCUCAGUGGUAGCUGGCUGUUUUCACCAUGCCAGCUUCAUUAUACGCAGACACAAAGCCCAGUUUUGGGCUUCAUUAUCCCAGGCCCAAUGCCUGCUCACCCAAACAACCCACAUUUCUAGGUCAUUAAGUCUUAAUAUUUCCUUAAUCAAAAUCAAGUGCUUGAAGCCAAAGCUAUUGUGUCAUUUGUAAGCUUGUGCUAGUUCUUGUGCGUGUGUAUUCAAGUUUCAGCACUUCAAACUGGUGUUGUUUGUGUGCUCAUGCACCAGCUUGUGGUUUUGUUUUAUACACUGUUAAUUGGUAAAUGAAGGCUAGGCUCUAUGCUCUUUCAUUGUGAUGUAAAGACAAGCCUCAUGAGCCUUGCAGCCAGCUUCACUCUUCCUCUGCUCUACGUUGUAGAGUGGUAACCCAUUUUUCAAAUACUGAAAUGCCACAAAGCAAAUUUUAUGGUUUGAAUAUCAUCCAUUUUGGAAGAGAAAGCAAGAUUUUCUAAGAUUUGGACAGUAUGUAGUGAUGAGGGUCUGAAGCCAAUGAAUUAUUCUGAGGGGUGUUGUUUUCUGCAUACCUGAUUUUUGAUGUUUUCCACUUAACAAUCACAUUAAUUAUUAAAGAUAAAGUUUCACAACCUUUAAGAUACAGUAUUACAUCUUUUUCUGGACAGUUUUCAUUGGUCUUUUGUCCUUUUACUGAGAGGUUGCAGGGUCAUACACUUCCUGAAAUCAUCCAUUGACCAACAUUUAUCAGGGUCAAACCAUAUCGAACAACUUGACUCACAAAAGCAAACUUAUGUGAAACAGGCCAACUACAGAGACAUAGUGCUGUACAAAUAUGUUUGGCCUUGUACGUUGAAGGCUUGAUGAGAAAGAGUUUGGACCUAAACCUUUAAGCUUAUAUAAAUGGAGCUCAUUUUAGUACUGAGCAAUUGCGUGAAUUGUGCAGCUAGAACUUCAUUCCUUAGACCAAAGUGUAUUGAUGUGUUUCUGUUCUGCAAAGAAUAUUGCAUAUGCAGGGUUUGUAAUUCAAAAGCAGUCUCCCAAACCCCAUAGUACAAGGGUGGCAACAUUUCUGAGAGCGUGUGCCUGAAGUGGCAAUAAUAUUCUGAAAAAUGCGCUCAUAUGCCUUGGUAAUUUUGAGCAGAGAUUUUCAUUAGUUAGUGAAUUUGUAACAAAGUUAUUGAAUUUUUUCAGGAAAAAGGAUGUCCUGUUGCUCAUUUAUGUGUAUACAUAACUUGACUAUUAAUUGAAGUAUAACAGAGACAAUGAAAUAGAUGAAGCAUUUUAGAAAACCCGUUGAAAAAUCAAUAUUAAUCUUUUAAUAGAGAGGAAGUCCUGCACACCACUGUUUCCUGUUUCAGAACAUAAGAUGCAUAAGACUUUAUCACCCUUUUCAAUCAUGCCAAAUCUUUCACUCCACCGCUCUUGAAAACCUCUGCUGCUUCUCCCAUUAUUUCAAAGUUUUUCUUUCUUUGCUGGUGUAUUGGACUUUUUGAAAAGGGCAAAAUCAAUUUAAAUUCUAGUUCAGUCUAGUUUUUGUACUGUGUCAUGUAACACCAUGAUCCUGCAAACGUUGUCUCAGUUUUCCUGUGUACUGUACCAGUAGUUAUGGUCGAAAUGACAAUAAAAGUGACUUGACUUGA